rnacentral:rRNA from 1 species
GAUGAACGCUGGCGGCGUGCCUAAUACAUGCAAGUCGAGCGAACAGACGAGGAGCUUGCUCCUCUGACGUUAGCGGCGGACGGGUGAGUAACACGUGGAUAACCUACCUAUAAGACUGGGAUAACUUCGGGAAACCGGAGCUAAUACCGGAUAAUAUAUUGAACCGCAUGGUUCAAUAGUGAAAGACGGUUUUGCUGUCACUUAUAGAUGGAUCCGCGCCGCAUUAGCUAGUUGGUAAGGUAACGGCUUACCAAGGCAACGAUGCGUAGCCGACCUGAGAGGGUGAUUGGCCACACUGGAACUGAGACACGGUCCAGACUCCUACGGGAGGCAGCAGUAGGGAAUCUUCCGCAAUGGGCGAAAGCCUGACGGAGCAACGCCGCGUGAGUGAUGAAGGUCUUCGGAUCGUAAAACUCUGUUAUUAGGGAAGAACAAAUGUGUAAGUAACGAUGCACGUCUUGACGGUACCUAAGCAGAAAGCCACGGCUAACUACGU